rnacentral:lncRNA from 1 species
UUAACCUAGCAUUCCCAAUCUUUCAUAUUUCAAUCAAUCUUCAAAGGUACCAUAUUCAUUUUCAUGUGAUUUAGUAAAAAAAUAUUUUAUGUUCAUAGUUUAUAUUCUUUAACAAAAUAGUCUCGAUUAAAGAAGUAGUCAAAAGGGCUCACAUUCGCUCUCAGAAAAAAAAAAAAAAAACUAAGUUACCCUUAAUGAAAAAUACCUCUGGGUUAUAAUUUUUUCCUUAAUCCUUAUUUAAUUAAAAAAAAUUAAAAUCGAGUGUUAAGAAGACAAUAUCGAUUUACCUCAG